GCUGUGAGUUAUGUAUUUAUAGUUGUUUUUGUCGUAUAAAAAAAGUUAAUUUUUACAUAGAAGUGAAAUGUUAGCCGUUUAGUUUAUAUCUAGUUCUUUAUGAUGGAGUUUAAUUCUAACUUUUAUAGAAAUUUUGUAAAAGGAAAAUUCUUUUAGGCAUGAGCUUUAGGGGACUAAAUUUAAAUAUGAUGAUAUUAAAAUUAUAAAUAGGUUUAAUAGUAACCAUUUUUUAAGUUUAUUAUAAAUUAUGAUUUGUGCAAUUUAGUGAAUUUAUAUUGGGAUUUAUUUUUAGUAAUAAGGUGUUAUAUGAAAUUAAAUUGUAUAAGAAAUUAUGAUUAAAUUAGUAUAAGUUAAGUGGUGUUAUAUAAGAUUUUAAAUAAUUGAUUUGUUAUUAUAAUUAGAGAUGAGGAAAUAAAAAAGGAACUCGGCAAAUAUAUCUUUUGCCUGUUUAUCAAAAACAUGUCUUUGUGGGAGAAUGUAAAGUCUAGCCUGCCCACUGAGUUUUUAAAGGGCUGCGGUAUUUCUGACCGUGCAAAGGUAGCAUAAUCAAUAGUCUUUUAAUUGGAGGCUGGAAUGAAUGGUUGGACAAAAAGGUAUCUGUCUCAUUUAUUUAAUUUGAAUUUGAUUAUUAUGUGAAAAAGCAUAGAUGUUUUAAAGGGACGAGAAGACCCUAUAAAACUUUAUAUAUAAUUUUUUUUUAGGAGAAAUAAAAUUAAAUUUUAAUUAAAAGUUAGUAUUUAGUUGGGGUGAUUGAGAUAUAAUUAAUUAACUGUCUGUAAUAUUUAAUAAGUAUAAUUAGAUAGUGACCUUAAAUUUUAGGUUAUAAGUUAAAGUUACUUUAGGGAUAACAGCGUAAUAUU
rnacentral:rRNA from 1 species